rnacentral:rRNA from 1 species
GACGAACGCUGGCGGCGUGCUUAACACAUGCAAGUCGAACGGAAAGGCCUGCUUUCCCUUGUGGUUUGCGGGUACUCGAGUGGCGAACGGGUGAGUAACACGUGAGUGAUCUGCCCCCAACUUGGGUAUAAGCCUGGGAAACUGGGUCUAAUUCCCGAUAGGACUGCAGGGUGGUGCCUGUGUUGGAAAACGAUUUUCUAGUGGUUGGGGAUGAGCUCGCGGCCUAUCAGCUUGUUGGUGGGGUAAUGGCCUACCAAGGCGGCGACGGGUAGCCGGCCUGAGAGGGUGGACGGCGACAUUGGGACUGGGAUACGGCCCAGACGGCUACGGGAGGCAGCAGUGGGGAAUAUUGCACAAUGGGCGGGAGCCUGAUGCAGCGACGCCGCGUGGGGGAUGACGGCCUUCGGGUUGUAAACUCCUUUCGACCGCGAGGAAGCCACCUGGUUGGAAGGGUGGUGACGGUAGUGGUAGAAGAAGCACCGGCUAACUACGUG